rnacentral:rRNA from 1 species
UUAUGAAUAAGGAUCGGCUAACUCCGUGCCAGCAGCCGCGGUAAUACGGAGGAUCCGAGCGUUAUCCGGAUUUAUUGGGUUUAAAGGGAGCGUAGGUGGACUGGUAAGUCAGUUGUGAAAGUUUGCGGCUCAACCGUAAAAUUGCAGUUGAUACUGUCAGUCUUGAGUACAGUAGAGGUGGGCGGAAUUCGUGGUGUAGCGGUGAAAUGCUUAGAUAUCACGAAGAACUCCGAUUGCGAAGGCAGCUCACUGGACUGCAACUGACACUGAUGCUCGAAAGUGUGGGUAUCAAACAGGAUUAGAUACCCUGGUAGUCCACACAGUAAACGAUGAAUACUCGCUGUUUGCGAUAUACAGUAAGCGGCCAAGCGAAAGCAUUAAGUAUUCCACCUGGGGAGUACGCCGGCAACGGUGAAACUCAAAGGAAUUGACGGGGGCCCGCACAAGCGGAGGAACAUGUGGUUUAAUUCGAUGAUACGCGAGGAACCUUACCCGGGCUUAAAUUGCAGUGGAAUGAUGUGGAAACAUGUCAGUGAGCAAUCACCGCUGUGAAGGUGCUGCAUGGUUGUCGUCAGCUCGUGCCGUGAGGUGUCGGCUUAAGUGCCAUAACGAGCGCAACCCUUGUUGUCAGUUACUAACAGGUUUUGCUGAGGACUCUGACAAGACUGCCAUCGUAAGAUGUGAGGAAGGUGGGGAUGACGUCAAAUCAGCACGGCCCUUACGUCCGGGGCUACACACGUGUUACAAUGGGGGGGUACAGAGGGCCGCUACCACGCGAGUGGAUGCCAAUCCCCAAAACCUCUCUCAGUUCGGACUGGAGUCUGCAACCCGACUCCACGAAGCUGGAUUCGCUAGUAAUCGCGCAUCAGCCACGGCGCGGUGAAUACGUUCCCGGGCCUUGUACACACCGCCCGUCAAGCCAUGGGAGCCGGGGGUACCUGAAGUACGUAACCGCAAGGAUCGUCCUAGGGUAAAACUGGUGACUGGGGCUAAGUCGUAACAAGGUAGCCGUACCGGAAGG